rnacentral:ncRNA from 1 species
GGUAGUAGCAAAUAUUCAAAUGUUGGCAGCCGAAGAGGAGAAAUGUUCCAUGUGAACGACACUUGCACAUGGGUAAGCCGAUCCUAAGGGACUAGGUAACCCUAGCAGAGAGCACAACUACGCGCGUGCCCCGAAAGGAAAUCGGGUUAAGAUUUCCCGAGCCGGGACGUGGCGGUUGACGGCGACGUUAGGAAGUCCGGAGACGCCGGCGGGGGCCUCGGGAAGAGUUAUCUUUUCCAGCUUAAAAGCCUACCAACCCUGAAAAUGAGAUAGGGUCCACCGGCCGGAAGAGCACAGUAUAUAUAUUUAUCUUACAAAAUACUAUAAGAAAAAUAAAAAUAUGUUUAUUUAUUGUAUACCUUAUAAUAAGAAAUAUAGUUAAAGAUAUAUUUUGGAGAC